UACGUAGGGGGCAAGCGUUGUCCGGAUUUAUUGGGCGUAAAGAGCGUGUAGGCGGUCAGGUAGGUCCGUUGUGAAAACUCGAGGCUCAACCUCGAGACGCCGAUGGAAACCAUCUGACUAGAGUCCGGAAGAGGAGAGUGGAAUUCCUGGUGUAGCGGUGAAAUGCGUAGAUAUCGGGAGGAACACCAGUGGCGAAGGCGGCUUCCUGGACCAGUACUGACGCUGAGGCGCGAAAGCUAGGGGAGCAAACAGG
rnacentral:rRNA from 1 species